GAUGAACGCUGGCGGCGUGCCUAAUACAUGCAAGUCGAGCGAACAGACGAGGAGCUUGCUCCUCUGACGUUAGCGGCGGACGGGUGAGUAACACGUGGAUAACCUACCUAUAAGACUGGGAUAACUUCGGGAAACCGGAGCUAAUACCGGAUAAUAUAUUGAACCGCAUGGUUCAAUAGUGAAAGACGGUUUUGCUGUCACUUAUAGAUGGAUCCGCGCCGCAUUAGCUAGUUGGUAAGGUAACGGCUUACCAAGGCAACGAUGCGUAGCCGACCUGAGAGGGUGAUCGACCACACUGGAACUGAGACACGGUCCAGACUCCGACGGGAAGCAGCAGUAGGGAAUCUUCCGCAAUGGGCGAAAGCCUGACGGAGCAACGCCGCGUGAGUGAUGAAGGUCUUCGGAUCGUAAAACUCUGUUAUUAGGGAAGAACAAAUGUGUAAGUAACUAUGCACGUCUUGACGGUACCUAAUCAGAAAGCCACGGCUAACUACGUG
rnacentral:rRNA from 1 species